rnacentral:lncRNA from 15 species
AGCCAAGUUUCUUCAGAAUCCAUCCAACAGUUGGGCAGGAUGACCCAUUUAUAACUACCUUGUAUUCAGCCAGAAUGAUUUUUAUGUAAAUAAUUUGUUAGAAACUGAAAGAGACAUCAACUAAUAAUUCAUAACUACAUAAGAUACUACAGAACUGAACAAUCAGCUCUUUCUAAACCUUUUAUGAUGGCACUAAGUCAGUUCGAAAUCAAAAAACAACAAAGACAUCAUUUUGGUUUGGCAUGAAUAUUUAAUUUAAAAACCUGUUUCACAGAGGGUCCAGUUCCAAGUACUGCUGCAACUACAACUGUUGCACCCAUGACUGCCAGGCCUACGACUGCUGCACCUGCAACUGUUGCACCCAUGACUGCCAGGCCUACGACUGCUGCACCUGCAACUGUCGCACCUACGACUGCCAGGCCUACGACUGCCGCACCUACGACUGCUGCACCUGCAACUGUCACAUCCACGACUGUUGCACCUACAACUGUCGCACCUACAACUGCCAGGCCUGCAACUGCUGCACCUGCAACUGUAGCAGUCACAAAAAUCAGGACAACUUUCAGAUCUCUUCAAGACACAUUUACAAAUGACUUGAAUGAUCCAUCAUCUGCAUCUUUUAUAACUCGAUCUUCAAUGAUAAAGGCACAGCUUCAACCUAUCUUCCAAGAGGCAUUCCCAUCCUCCUUCAGGUCCUUGGAUGUAGUUUCAUUCAGAAAUGGAUCAAUCAUAACUGACAUGAACCUUAACUUUGCAAGCACAUCUGUUCCUACCAACACUCAGAUUGGUAAUGUUUUGAUCAAUGCAUCUUCAAUCGUCAGCGGCUUCGACAUUGAAGGCAGCUCCAUCACCGUGAAUGGCAUAGCUUCAAGUGGUGUAAGCCACAAGAUCAGUCUUGCGACCGCAUUCUGCCUUGUACUUUUGUCAUGGCUACUGACAAGCCAGCAAUAGCAUCAGGGCUGAUUUCCUUUGGAUUGCCAUGAGAACAUGACUGCCAUCACUAGCAUGAAAAAGGACUUUCAUCAGGACGUUGUUGGUAAAAAUCCAAGAAUCCUGAUUCUCUUUAGUGGUGUACGGUUUCGGAUGAACUCAUU